rnacentral:rRNA from 1 species
UACGAAGGGUGCUAGCGUUGUUCGGAAUGACUGGGCGUAAAGGGCGCGUAGGCGGUUAGAUACGUCUGAUGUGAAAUCCCUGGGCUUAACCCAGGAACUGCAUUGGAUACGGUCUGGCUAGAGUCCGCGAGAGGAAGAUGGAAUUGUGCGUGUAGAGGUGAAAUUCGUAGAUAUGCACAAGAACACCGGUGGCGAAGGCGAUCUUCUGGAGCGGUACUGACGCUAAGGCGCGAAAGCGUGGGGAGCAAACAGG